UGAGCUCAGAUAAGGCUACCCGCUGAACUUAAGCAUAUCAAUAAGCGGAGGAAAU
rnacentral:rRNA from 1 species